UGCUGUGCUGGCAGCCGUUGCAGCCCUCACUCGCUCUCUGCGUCUCUUCCGCCUCAGCGCCCAUUCUGGCCGCGCCUGAGGAGCCCUUCAGCCCGCCGCUGCACCAUGGGAGCCCUUCUCUAGACUGGCCGAGGCCGGAGCCAGCUCCCUCAGCUUGCUGGGAGGUGGGCUGGAGCAAGAUGGCAGAAUUAAGAGGCUCUAUCAAUUGUCCUCCCUGCAGGAAGACCAAACUUGACAUCUAUCUACACAAAAAAAGGAAACUUCAUAAGUACCAAAAAUUAGAUAUGCUUGUCUCCCUCCUGCGGUCUUGUGAAGGAGAUGCCUGCUUCGCCUUCUGCCCUGAUUGUAAGUUUCCUGAAGCACCCUCAGCCCUGUGGAACUGCCUGCCUAUGGAUCAAUCAGCAUGUACUUCCACUUGCCCAUGGACCAGUCAGCACACACUUCUUCCAUUCUGAGCCCAUGAAAACCCUGGACUGAGCCACGUUAUCGGGGCUGCCUGCCUAUGGAUAGAAUCUACUCACUUCUGCUGACAGCUGUUCUGCCAUUCAAUAAAACUCCUCCACCUUGCUCACUCUUCAAUUGUCCGGGUAACCUCAUUCUUCCUGGGAGGGACAAGAACUCAGGACCCAGAUGAAUGGCGAAUGUAAAAAGGAGUGUAACACGUUCUUGGCAGGUUCGCUGCUGGGAGUGAUGCCAUGCUCCUGUUUAUUGGACCGCAGGAGUGAAGAGCAGUGACACUUCUGGGGGCCCAGACCUGUACCUCUAUCACCCUCCCGUCCUCUGCCAGUAAUCAGGCGGCCACCCCAUGUGAUGGAAAGUGGCGACAGGGCUAGGCCAGCCCGAGCGCCAAGGGCUGGUGGGAAGUGGCAGCACUAAACGAGCUGAAACAGGCUCUCCGCCAUUCACUGGGCUGUGGGUAAUGGGAACAAGAGAGCUGUAGAGCACCCCCCACCUUGGGGCUCCAGGGUUGCUGGUAUCUCUUUCUCGGGAACCACCACAUUCUCUUCGUCCAAAUGCUGCCACCCACAAUGAAAGCUGCUUGUGGUAUGCUUGGUCCAGCUACUGGUCCAGCUGUAGCCUCACAAGGAGCCAAUGCCUGUGCCAACACCUGGAGCUGCCCGCCCCACCACAGCAGCCAGCACGCCCGGCUGUGUGCAGUGGCUGGCCCCUGCACUCACUUGCUCACACACCCCUCACCCCUCUGAGCCUGGCUUGCCCUCAGCAGGCAUGGGAUCUAGGCCAGUAGCACGAGCCAAGUGCAGCCUGCUGGGCUGAGUGGGUGAAAUGAGCCCAGCAGGCACGAGUAAAACUCAAGCAGAGGUGCCGCCAGCCACAGGAGUUUCUGGCUGGUGAAGUGACACCCAAAAGAUCCUGUGACAGAGGCGUCUAUGAUAAACACAUUCCCAGCAGUAGGAAUCACAUUUUUCAAAAAUAUGGCAUUAUGAAGGUUUAUGACAAUUUCAAACUAAAAUAAGGUAAAUGUAAAGAAGUGUGUGAGGCAUGUUGAGAGAAGAAAUCUUAGAGAUAGGUGAGAUGGAGAACAUGACAAAUCUUCAAUAUUUUGGUUUUUACUUUACAAAGAUUUUUGAACUGUUAAAGGUGUACAAUUGAUAUUAAUGGAUUUUAAAAUGAUUUUCUGUAUACAGUAUGUAAAGUAAUUUAAAAGAGGGAAGAAAUAGAUGUGAGAUACCUGUUGCAAUAGUCCUUGAGAGAGAUUAUGAUAAUUUUGACUAAGACAAUGAUAAUGGGCAGUCGAUGUCACUAAAAUAAUAGAAAUAUUAAAGAAGUGAAAACAACAGGAUUUGUUUAGAAUUGGUGACGUAGGUGAGGAAUAAUGUGUCAAGACUUUAUUUCUAUUUUGCACAAUCAAAUAAUUGUUACUUUUAUUAAGAAUGUUAUUUGAAAGGUAUAAUCAUGAUUUUUCAAACAAAUUUAAAAGAAACACAUGCCAAAGCUUUUAAUAUUACAAGCUGGUUUAUUUUAUUGUAGGUAUUAGGAGAACUUUGAAGAAGUUACAACUACCUGUAGCUUAAAGGUGCAUAACAAAUAUAUAGGCAAUCAGGAAUGGAAUGCUGAAAUGAAUUUGUUCAAUGGAUGUAAAAGUGGUUUAUUUCAUAGUAAGGAAUGGAAAUCAACUGAGUUUCUACCAGACAAAAUUUAUUAAUGACUAUGGAUAAAAAUAAUGUUAAUUGCUCCCAGUCAUCUAUUACUUAGAGAGUUGUCAAUAGCUCAAAGACAAGGAAAUGCAAUAAAAUGCCAUAAAAUUCACAGAAUUCACAGAUAGAUAUGCCAGAAAGUAUCUGAUUUUUCAUUAAAGACAUCCAACAAUCUUUUGGUCUGUUUGAAAAUUUUUCUCAAUAUUUGAGAAUAACUGUGAGUAGUAGACAUUGAUCAGUAUUUCAAUAUUUGCAUGAUGAUUUGAAGGUGAGGUGACCUUGAGAAAUUACAGUAAAGAUAUGAUGUAAUGAGUUGGAUAUGUCAGUCUGGAAAUCGUAUCAAACUAAUUUCACAUAGAGGUGGUAAUUGAAUGAGGUCACCAAGGGACAAAAAAUAGAUUAAGAAGUGAGAAGUUCUUCACCUGAGCCUUGAAAAACACCAAUAUUUAAUAAGAUUGUAAAAGAGCCUGCAAAAAGAAGCCGAAAGAGUGCUGGUGUUUUGCAUUGAAAGGCAUCAGAAAUGAAGAAAGUCUAAUCAGCAUUAUUAAUCAGUAUGCUAAUGUUAAGUAUAAUAAUGACAAAUACUACUGCAUUUAUUAGGUAGGUUAAAGUUUAGAAUGUUUGCCAUAAAAAUGUACAUUUCGAAUGCAAUAAUGGACCAAAUCUCUCUCCACAUAAAAUUGUGAGAAAACAAAACAAAACUCUCUUUCUCACAACUUACUGGAAGGGUGCCCUUAGAAUAGGACCAGAUUUUAAUUUCAGUAAGUAGAGGUAUGGGGAAAUGUUGAGAUUGCACUGAGUUUGCUAAAUUUGGAAUAACAGUUGCAGAAGGCACACUAGGAGGAUUUGAGAGGUGGGUAAUUUUAAGGUUGUUACAUACUUACACCUUAGUAAGUUUCUAUUUCCUUUUCCCGACAGGGGAAUUACACUGGAAUUCAAUUUUGUGUCUGAUUACUCAUGAAUAUAAAAAACAAUGAUGAUUUAUUUGGAAUGUGUAUUCUAUACCAAGAAGUCAGAGAACAAAACAUGUUUCUUUUAAAAUAUUCCUUCUCAUCAACUCAGCUCCAUUAUAGUACACAAUUUGUUAUCCAAUAUGGAUUAAUAAUGGGAGUUUUAAUUGCAUAUUCUGAUUCACAAAAGAGUAUAAGUCCAGAAAUAUAUGAACUACCAAUGUUUAAGGAAUUCGAGCAGGGUAUUAGUGUACUGUAUGCAAACCAAGUUGGACAAAAUUUUAUCUCUGUUGAUUCAAAAGAAUCGUGAAAUCUCUUAGGGUCAAAAUCUUUACCAUUUCUCAGCACUGAAUUGAUGAAGCAUACAAGUACUAUCUGUCAGUAUUUGUCAUUGAUAUUUUGUUGAGUAUUUAGUACAUUAAGAAAACACAAAUUGAUUCCACUACUCUGAGCAAUGAAAUAUCCCCUUAUAAAAUAUAGAUGGUUAGAAAUACUGCCUGGAGAAAAGAAUCUGCAUUACAUUUUCACAAUAAUUUAUGAAAACAUAACACGAUAAUCAUCCUAACGCUAAUUCAUAUUCUCAUGGAUGAUUAUCUGGCUCUAUUUUAAAUAAAAAGUAAGAAACAUUACUGAAUAUUUGAUUUACUAAAAUGGAUUUAUAACGCUUUGCCAGAAAUUAUCUUCUAAUUUUAUUUAAAUUUUCUGGAUAUGGAAACACUGAUGGUUCUUUGGUUGAUGAGGCCUUAUUUGUUUAGAAAUGAGCAACGGCACCCCCACAGGGUCACAGAGAAGCUUUUAUCAGUAGCAGCCUUUAGGCCACAGUUUGCAAUCAGUGAAUAUUUAUAUUAGUAGCAAUUGCACCAGACAGUAAUUAUCUUAUCACGGAGGAAAAGGUUAAAAAGAAGCUUCUCCAUUGGACA
rnacentral:lncRNA from 10 species